rnacentral:rRNA from 1 species
CGCAUCUGUGCAUGCAGCAUAUCAAUAAGCGGAGGAAAAGAAACUAACAAGGAUUCCCUUAGUAACGGCGAGUGAAGCGGGAAGAGCUCAAAUUUGAAAUCUUCAAGGUUUUACCUUGACGAAUUGUAGUUUAAAGAAGUGUUUUCUGCUGAAGUUUUGGUAAAAGUUCUUCGGAAUAGGACAUCAUAGAGGGUGAGAAUCCCGUAUUUGACCUUUACUUUCAACUUUGUGAUACACUUUCAAAGAGUCGGAUUGUUUGGGAAUGCAGUCCAAAAUGGGUGGUAAAUUUCAUCUAAAGCUAAAUAUUGGCGAGAGACCGAUAGCGAACAAGUACCGUGAGGGAAAGAUGAAAAGAACUUUGAAAAGAGAGUUAAAUAGUACGUGAAAUUGUCAAAAGGGAAGCGUUUAACACCAGUGUUGCUUUCUGAAAAUCAACCUCUGUUAGCUUUAUGCAUGUUUGUUUAGACCUAAUCAGCUAUCUUGCAUGUUCUAUUGUUUGCAGUGGUGCACUUUUCAGUUUACAGGUCAACAUCAGUUUUUUUUACCGUAAAAAAGUUAAAGAAAGGUAGCUCAUGGCUCCGGUCGUGAGUGUUAUAGUCUUGUUCCUAUGCGGUAGGAGAGACUGAGGUCUGCAGUGCUAGGCUAUUUGGCUAGAUACUCAGGUGCUAUGUGAUACCAUUUCAUAAACAACUUGUUGAUUAUGUUUUGUCUAUUGCAUACUCGCUUGUACUAUCAUACCUACGCUUAGGAUGUUGACGAUCAGCUGAGCGCG